rnacentral:rRNA from 1 species
GCUUAGAGAGGGGUCAAUGUCCUAUCAGCUAGUUGGUAAGGUAAUGGCUUACCAAGGUUAAGACGGGUAGCCGGCCUGAGAGGGUGGUCGGCAACACUGGGACUGAGACACUGCCCAGACUCCUACGGGAGGCUGCAGUCGAGAAUCUUUCGCAAUGCCCGAAAGGGUGACGAAGCGACGCCGCGUGUGGGAAGAAGGCCUUCGGGUUGUAAACCACUGUCGGGAGUUAAGAAAUGUAAGGGUGUUAAUAGCAUCCUUACUUGACUAAGGCUCCGGAGGAAGCCACGGCUAACUCUGUGCCAGCAGCCGCGGUAAUACAGAGGCGGCAAGCGUUGUUCGGAAUUAUUGGGCGUAAAGAGCACGUAGGCGGCUUUGUAAGUCAGUUGUGAAAGCCUUCCGCUUAACGGAAGAACAGCAUCUGAUACUGCAAGGCUAGAGUGCGGAAGGG